rnacentral:tRNA from 1 species
GCCCUCGUAGCUCAGGGGAUAGAGCGCGGCCCUCCGGAGGCUGAGGCACAGGUUCGAUUCCUGUCGAGGGCA